rnacentral:lncRNA from 1 species
UAAAAUGAAAAUGUAUGUACAAAAUGGUAGGUGCAAAUUUGAGGUGCUACAGCUGCCCCUAUUCAAUCAGCUGGGAACCUGAACGGAUGAGAGCAACGGCUGUCAGACUUUCAAGGUACACAGGGAUUGAAUACCAAAGAACCGUAGAAAUUUGCACUCUGCGGGAUAUGAAGAAAAGCCAAGCCAUUUACUGAUGACGGCUGCACGAUAACUUCAGGAAAGCGAAACCAUUUACCGAUGGCUAAAUACUGGAAACUUGAUAUUUACCGAUAUCAACUUCAGCGAGACCAUUUACCGAUGGCUGCUGGGAAACAUCUUGAUAUUAAAAGGAAGCAAGACCAUUUACCGAUGGUGGCUUCAAAGCAACUUGAUAUUUACCGAUAUUAACUUCAACAAGACCAUUUACCGAUGGCUGCUCCAACUGGGGACUCGAUAUUUACCGAUAUCGAAGAAAGCGGGGCCAUUUACCGAUGGCGGCUAGACUGGGAAUUCGAUAUUUACCGAUAUCGAAGCAAACGGGGCCAUUUAUCGAUGGCGUCUCCACCCGGGGAGGAAAAAUAUAUUUGCAAUUGGAAUCAUACAAGACGUUUACCGACGACUCCUGGGGAUUUUUGAUUUUUAUCAAAGGAAAUACGCACGACCAAACAUUUACCGAUGACUGGGAUGAGACUUGAUGUUUACCGACAUCGAAAGAUGAUGUUUACCAACAUCCAAAAACGACCAGACAUUUACCGAUGACUGGGGGAAAUACUCGACCAGACGUCAAUGGACGAAAGGGAGAGACUCAACGUUUAUCGACACCAACAGAGAGGUGAACACUUUACUGGGGACGAAAAAACAAAUACUUGCAACCCGAACCCAAAUAGGACGUUUACCGACAACUCUACUGGGGAUCUCUAGCUGGGGAAUUAUCAGACAUUUAUCGAUGACUGGGGGAAAACUCGACGUUUACCGACAUCGAAAGAUGAUGUUUACCGACACCAAAAAAUGACCAGACAUUUACCGAUGACUGGGGUAGGACUAGAUGUUUUACUGACACCGAAACAAUGGUGUUUACCGACACACCGACAUCGAAAGAUGAUGUUUACCGACACCAAAAAAUGACCAGACAUUUACCGAUGACUGGGGUAGGACUAGAUGUUUUACUGACACCGAAACAAUGGUGUUUACCGACACCAAAGAAAGAACACACGCGGGUGCUGACAUGACACUUACCGGUGUCACAAGAAUAACAACUUUAAAACGUCAAGGCAAGGCUAACCACUUGCUGGGGAUCUCACUGGGGAGAAACAAGCUUUCCGUUCGCGGACGGGGGAGGAAAUAAACCUCUCUGGGGAAUAUCAAUCCUGAAUGCUGUCAGGAGCAACUGUAGCAAACGUGCUGUACAGAUGUUGAACAAAUGAUCCGCCUCUGCCGGGGAUACGAUCUGGUUAGGUUUAACACAUGAAUGCAUAUGUUUGAAUUUUUCUAUGGCGUAAUGCUCCAUAUUGAAUGGAAAUGCUACGCAUUUGAGGAUGCCAUGAUCACUAUAUGCAAAAUGCAAAGGAUGAACAACUCCGGCUUGGGAGCCAAAACUGAUCAGAUACUCCAACUCUGCGGGGAGACUCUGCUGAAGAGUACUCUGCGGGGAGAGCACCGACUUCUCACUCAUGCUGGAGAAUAGCACUGCUGCUGGGGAAAGGUAAACUCCGCUGGGGACAUCCUUCAUAGGACCCAAUCCACUCGGGGACUCAGCUUGGGGGAACAACCAAUACAACUCGCUGGGGACGAACCAAAGCGACUGCGCUGAGGAGUAAACAAAACAACUCGCUGGGGAGUAAUAAGGCGACUUGCUAGGGACAACCUGGUGACUUCACUGGGGAGAGCCAACCAAUCCACAAGUAGGAAAAACUCUGCUUUGGGAAAUAAAUGCUACUCCGCUGGGGACGACCCAUCCAGUCCACAGAUAGGAUAACUGCUGGAGAUAAAUUUCAUUGAACCCGCUCCACUCGGGGAUUCAUUGAGGAAAAUUAUCAACACCAGUCUCUGCUCGAGUGCUAGGGAAAGCAACUCUGUUGGGGAUAACACAACACUCUGCUGAGGAAGAGCAAAACUCUGGUGGGGAAAGUAAUAUCAGACUCCAUACUGGAGAUAUACAUCUACAACCCUGCUGAGGACAGGCGCUCACAACCACGCUGGGGAUAGUGAUACUUCAACCCGACUGCUGGGGAAUAAACCACUGACACCUCCGCUGGGGAUAUAACAUCCUUCCAACUCAGUGGGGAUAAUCCUGCUUCCAACCUCAGUUGGGAACUCAACAACUGGGGCAAUCGGCAAAUACAGGCCUGCUGAGGAUAGGCAAUCCUUAGAUCUGUUGGGGAAUAAAAGGCACUAUUCACAGACAUCUCCGCAGGGGCACAUAGCUCUAAUAGCUUCCAUACUUGCUUGGGGAAAUAUCCGCUGGGGAAACGUCCUCACAGAUGACGACCUGCAAAACAGCUCAACAAAAUGCCCCCAGGGGAUACAUGGACGAGAUACGCUCAAGUGUCCUCAACAUUCAAAAUGAUUUUCAAAUGUUUUAUCUUUUUGCACGUUAUUGUUUAGCCUUCAUGUUCUUAUAUGCAAUGCUUAUCAAAAAUUCGGACGUUUUUGCAAACAAAACAGUAAAAAUAAAAACAAGAGAGCCAUUUAUCUGAAUAACGACUUUUAUUGAUUGAAAAUGGGCCUGAAAAGGCAAAUACAUUGGGAAGCAAUUCCUAGAAAGAGGUAAUUGCGCACAAAAGGAAAAAUCUAUCCUAAUGGCAAUGUGAACACGACAUCCACUAUUUCCCAAUUCUGUUAUAACCCACAGAUCAUCAGCUUUCCUCCCAACUUCCUUGCUUUCUGAGAAGAAUGACUGGAUGGAUCACAUCUUUCGAGAUGGCAGACGACAAAGCUCGAUGAAGUACAGACAACUCAGACUGUAGUCUUCGCUUUAAUCCCUCUUUUGGCUGGAUCGCCCUUUCGGGUUUUCAAUCCACCGGGAUACCCAUUUUUGCCUAAGCCGCCCUUGCGGGUUUUCGACUUACCGGGUGUACAAAUUCUUUUCAUUUUUAUCCCUAAUUUUUGCCCGAACCUUUUCUUUCUGUUUUUUGGUUCGCCGGGAUGCCCUUUUUUGCCUGGACUCUUUUAUUCUUUUUGUCCAGCGGGUCAAUUUAUGCGAAGUAUUUUUUGACUACAUCUGAGUUAACAGGAGACGGAAAAUCUUCACCAUCCAUAGUUGUAAGCAUCAAGGCUCCACCGGAGAAGACCUUCUUCACAACAUAUGGACCUUCAUAAUUAGGAGUCCACUUGCCCCUGUUAUCUGUACCGGGAGGGAGGAUCCUCUUCAAAACUAGAUCACCGAUCUGAUAGCUUCGAGGACGCACUUUCUGAUCAAAGGCUCGCUUCAUCCUUCGCUGAUACAACUGUCCAUGGCAUACAGCUGCUAACCGUCUCUCCUCGAUAAGGCUCAACUCGUUAAACCUUGUUCGAAUCCACUCGGCUUCGUCCAGCUUGACAUCCAAUAAAACUCUCAGAGAAGGAAUCUCCACUUCAACAGGUAGGACAGCUUCCAUACCAUACACAAGGGAGUAAGGGGUUGCCCCGGUCGACGUACGUACUGAGGUACGGUACCCAUGCAAAGCGAAAGGCAGCAUCUCAUGCCAAUCCUUGUACGUAACGACCAUCUUCUGCACAAUCUUCUUGAUAUUCUUGUUCGCCGCUUCUACAGCACCAUUCAUCUUCGGUCUGUAAGGAGAAGAAUUGUGAUGUUCAAUCUUGAAAUCUUUACAAAGCUCUUUCAUCAUCUUGUUAUUGAGAUUCGAACCAUUGUCAGUGAUGAUUCUCUCAGGAACUCCAUAACGACAUAUGAUUUCUUUCUUGAUGAACCGGGUAACCACUUGUUUGGUAACGUUAGCAUAGGAAGCUGCUUCCACCCAUUUGGUGAAAUAGUCAAUCGCAACCAAGAUGAAGCGAUGUCCAUUCGAAGCAGUAGGCUCAAUCUUCCCAAUCAUAUCAAUGCCCCACAUGGCAAACGGCCAAGGCGAAUUCAUGACAUUCAGAGGGCUUGGUGGUACAUGCACCUUAUCAGCAUAGAUUUGACACUUAUGGCACUUCCGAGCAUACUUGAAACAAUCGGAUUCCAUAGUCAUCCAGUAAUAACCCGCUCUCAACAAUUUCUUAGCCAUUGCAUGUCCGCCGGCAUGAGUACCGAAGGAACCUUCAUGAACUUCCUGCAUUAACAUGUCCGCCUCGGGUCUGUCCACGCAUCUGAGCAAGACCAUGUCAAAGUUUCUCUUAUACAGCACAUCAUCCUGAUUCAAAUAGAAGCUUCCAGCUAGCCUUCUCAGGGUUUUCUUGUCAUUCUUCGACGCACCUUCAGGAUACUCCUGAGUCUUGAGGAAGUUCUUGAUGUCAUAAUACCACGGCUUCUCAUCAAUCACAACAGACUCGGCUGCAAACACAUACGCAGGCCUCUCGAGUCGAUUCACCGCAACAUGUGGCACAUGAUUCCACCAAUGAACUUUGAUCAUAGAAGACAAAGUAGCCAAGGCAUCAGCCAUCUGAUUCUCAUCCCGGGGAACAUGAUACAACCUCACCUUCUUGAAGAACGUCAGUAUUCUUCUGGUGUAAUCUCUAUAAGGAAUCAAAUGUGGCUGAUUAGUAUUCCAAUCUCCAUUAACCUGGUUGAUCACUAGAGCGGAAUCUCCAUAGAUGUCAAGAGUCUUGAUUCUCAGGUCGAUGGCUUCUAUCCCCAUGAUACAAGCCUCAUACUCAGCUUCAUUGUUGGUGACGUCAAAAGUUAGCCUGGCAGAGAAAGGUAUAUGAGCCCCUUUAGGAUUAAUGAGCACUGCCCCAACACCGUUACCAUUCAUAUUCACAGCCCCAUCAAACAUCAAUGUCCACUUGUCAUCAGGAUCCGGUCCUUCCUCGACAAGAGGCUCUUCACAAUCUUUCAUCUUAAGAUAUAUGAUGUCUUCAUCAGGGAAUUCAAACAUCAUUGGCUGAUAAUCAUCGAUCGGUUGCUCGGCAAGGUAGUCUGACAGAAUACUACCCUUAAUAGCCUUCUGCGACGUGUACUGAAUAUCAUAUUCUGUUAGAAUCAUCUGCCAACGAGCAACACGCCCGGUGAGAGCCGGUUUCUCAAAGAUGUACUUCACUGGGUCCAUCUUAGAAAUCAAUAAGGUAGUAUGGUUCAACAUAUACUGCCUCAGUCGGCGAGCAGCCCAGGCCAAAGCACAACAAGUUUUCUCGAGCAGUGAAUAUCUUGUUUCACAGUCGGUAAACUUUUUGCUAAGGUAGUAUAUGGCAUGCUCUUUUCGACCAGACUCGUCAUGCUGUCCCAAUACACACCCCAUCGAAUUCUCAGUCACUGAUAGGUACAUUAUCAAUGGUCUCCCUGGAACUGGAGGUAUCAGGAUUGGAGGUUUCUGUAAAUACUCUUUUAUCUUGUCAAAAGCUUUCUGACAGUCAUCAUUCCACCUGAUUGCUUGAUUCUUUCUGAGCAAUUUGAAAAUUGGUUCACACGUGGCAGUUAGGUGAGAUAUGAACCUUGCAAUGUAGUUCAACCUCCCUAAAAACCCACGGACUUGCUUUUUCGUUUUCGGUUCAGGCAUCUCUUGAAUAGCUUUGACUUUUGCUGGAUCAACCUCAAUCCCUUUCUCACUGACAAUGAAGCCUAACAGCUUCCCNCAUAUUCUCUCAGCAUCUCAAUCAGCCUCCUCUUGACAGAGUCCUCUAAAGCAGCCCCAAUCUUGAUCUCUCUUCUGGCGUCCUCAGUACCCAGAUUAACAAUCUCCAACUCCUCCUGAUGAGGUUGGAUGACCCUUUCCUCCUGCUUCAGCAAUCUGACCAAUUCUGCGGGGAGUUCACAGUCUUCCUCACUCUCCUCUUCAGCUUGGUAGAUGGGAUUAUCAAAAUCAUACUGAGCCAUAACAGAACUGUUCAUAGUGUAUUCCGUGGGAUCACUUCUGCAUGUUAAUGCCUUGUUUUAGAAAAAGAGUUCAAGAAAGUCACAAAAACAUUGCCAUUUUUAUUAUUUUUUAAAAAACGAAAACAAAAAUAGAAAGACAGGGAUCACAAAAUUUGAUUGCAAAACGUCCUUUAUUAAUGAUAAACAUUAAAAACAUGAUGAGGCCCUACAAUGAACCACUACGCCUUGGGCAGAAUGUAGGGUUUUCAUGCAAAAUGAAAAAAACAAAAGAAAAUUACUCUGUCUGAAGAGUAACUUGGACCACUUCUUCAGCCGUCCAGUUGUUGAUAGACUCCCCUGGUGCACACGGGCGAACCCAGUUGUCUAGAUCGCAAUCACUGUCACAGUCUUCACUACCGGUUGCAAAGACGUCGCCAUGAUUCAUCAGCCCAACGCUGGUAAAGGUACUCGGACCCGUCUGCACACUCUGCUCUACUUGGAGAGGCUCAUAACCAAUGUCAAAUUUGUCUUCUUUGACAGGCAAGUCCACCAUCUUGCCCCAACCCUCAGCUUUACCGGAGUCAACAACCUCUUUGGCCUGCUUGUAUGAAGCAAUCGAAGCACCCGACCUCCUCUGAUCAGCACACGCCACCCCUUCGAGGGCCACAGUCUCAAAUGCCUGGCACAAAGUUUCGUGGAUCUCGCCAUCCACCUCGACAUAUUUGAACGAGGACAGGUGACUCACCAAGAUAUCUUCUUCGCCACACACGGUCACAAUCUGACCGUUCCAGACAUACUUGAGCUUUUGGUGGAGAGUCGACGAGACUGCUCCUGCUGCAUGGAUCCAUGGACGCCCCAACAAACAACUGUAGGCGGGCUGAAUGUCCAUAACAUAGAAGAUGAUGUCAAACACCUCCGGACCUAUCUUCACCGGCAAAGUAACUUCCCCAAACACAGAACGUUUGGAUCCGUCGAAAGCACGAACGGUCAGGUCACUAGGAGUAAGCACAACCCCUUCAACAUCAAUCUUCUUCAGAAUCUGCUUAGGCAGCACAUUCAGCGACGACCCGGUGUCUACCAGCACGUGAGACAACACUGCCCCCUUGCAUUCCAUAGUGAUAUGCAAGGCUUUGUUAUGAUUGCGACCUUCAGGCGUUAAGUCUAGGUCAGUGAAUCCUACACCAUGCCUGGUGCUCACAUUGGCCAUCACACCCUCCAGUUGGUUGACGGAAAUCUCUUGAGGUACGUAAGCCAUGUUCAGCAUCUUCAUAAGGCAUUACGAUGUGCCUCAGAGCACAGCAUGCAAAAGAGAGUAUUGAAAUCUUGGACGGAGUCUGAUUAAGUUGAUCUACGAUCUUAUAAUCACUCUUCUUUAUGAUCUUCAUAAACUCCUCCACGUCCUUUUCAAAUGAACCCUCAGGCACCUCCUUCUGAGCCGGUUCUUCGUCAUUGACAACCUGUUUGCCUUUUGACUUAGCAGAAGCCUCAGCAUUAGCAUCUCUCAACGGCUGAGGAGCAAACAGUCGUCCACUUCGAGUAAAACCUCCGGGUCCACCAACGUUGUCCACAACGGGACUCACAACCACAGGAGUUUUAACUGGUGCACUGAUUGUCACAGGCGCUUGACUUACUGGCCUAAUCUGAUUCUCAGCCCUUCGACUGCUGCGGUAGGCAUUAUCAUAUUUCCAUGGCACAACCCUACUAUUCUCAACUGGUCUUCUUCCAGACGCAACGAUAGUAGUUGGAGCACUGAUAGUUACAGGAGCGGAAAUGGUAAAUGGGGUACCACUUGUUGCAGGUGCACUAACAACCCUCUGGCCUCGUCCUUCAGACGGUUUGAAAUAAAUGGUGACAGUUGACACUGACCCACGAUCUCUUACAGCCCUACUGAAUUACAGACAUCCCUGAUCCAUCAAACCCUGGAUACCAGCCCGCAACUGACCACAACCAUUCUCAGAUUUCGCACAAUCAAUACAACCCUCGUCACAGCCCGGGUCUACACCCCCAUUCAGCAAACAGCCCUUCACAACUAGCUGAGAAGUCUGAAUAUCAUCAACAUUAACAACCAGAUCUUCAGCUUCUUCUCCUUCAAUAUUGUUCACUCUAUGCCCACCGUGCUGAGGCAUAGGAUUGUUCACGACGUUAGGCACUGGAGCGAAGUUGAUCGUCUUGGCAUCGAUCAAAUCUUGGACUUUGUGCUGGAAAGCCCGGCAUUUCUCAGUAUGGUACCCUGGUGCCCCAGAGUGAAAGUCACAACGGACGUUGGCGUCGUAUCCAGGAGGCAAUAUUGUUGGCGGAGCCAUUGUACGCAACUCAACAAACCCCAACCUGAGUAGUUCGGGCAGCAGUUCGGCGAGUGAAAGUCACAACGGACGUUGGCGUCGUAUCCAGGAGGCAAUAUUGUUGGCGGAGCCAUUGUACGCAACUCAACAAACCCCAACCUGAGUAGUUCGGGCAGCAGUUCGGCGUACGACAUUGGUAGCAGAUCAAAACGUCGAUCAGGCAUCCUUUGUCUGGGCUGAUACGGACAUUGCUGUUGUUGUUGUUGUUGCGGUUGUUGAACUCUUUGUUGUUGUUGCGGAGGUUGACGUUGUUGAGGUGCAGGAAUGGUCACUGCAGCAACCUGACGGUAUUGAUUUCUGUUCACACUUCCUCUGUACACAUUCCCUCGGUGUUGUACAACAUUGGUUUCCCCCUCUCUCCGGCGAGGUGCCCCAGCAAAUGGUUUCUUAGACGAUGAAGAACCCACAUCUUGAAUCUUACCGGCCUUGAUUAAACUUUCAGUUCUCUCACCACAGAUCACCACGUCUGAGAAACUACCGAAUGUGCAACUCCCCAUCCAGUCCAUAAAUACACCUUGAAGAGUACCAAUGAACAUGUCGGUUAACUCCCUCUCCAGCAUAGGGGGUUGUACUCUUGCAGCCAGUUCACGCCAUCUCUGGGCGUACUCCUUGAAGCUUUCACCAGAUUUUUGACAUAGACUCUGCAGCUGAGUCUGGCUAGGCGCCAUAUCCAUGUUAUGCUUGUAUUGCCUCAAGAAGGCCUCUCCCAGAUCCCUCCAGCAUCGGAUCGAAUCUCUCUUCAAUUCCAUGUACCAUUCCAAAGAAGCCCCAGAUAGACUAUCUUGGAAAAAGUACAUCCACAUCUUCUCAUCGUCUGUGUAAGCAGAGAUCUUCCUGUAGUAGGCCUGCACGUGGGUGCGAGGGCAAGAAGUGCCGUUGUACUUGUCAAAAGACGGUGCUUUGAACUUAUAAGGGAUUCUCAAACCUUCCACUAACCCCAUAUUGGUAACAUCAAAACCGAGAGAAUUCUGAGAUUCCAUAGCCCGGAUCUUCUCAGCAAGGGCAUCAACUUUACGAUCCCUCUCAUCAACCCUUCCCAAAACGUCUUCGUCUUCACUGAGCAGAGUGAACAUAUCCUCUUGUCUGUCAACAAUCGGAGCCUGAUUACGGGCCAGAGCACAGACUACUCUGGCAUUAGCGGUAUCUGGAUCAAUAGGUUGCCCGUUGAUUCGAAUACCCCUCAAUUCGUCACCUACAGCAUAAUUGUUGAUGGGCACAGCCGCAGUAGCAGGGUCAUUGAUCGGGCCUCCCUCUGGCAGAGCUUGGUUGAUCGGUGGAAUUGCAGCUUCUUGUCUCUGAACUAGAGCUCGAAGUUCUUCUUGACCUUGCGCAACCCCUUGCAUCAUAUGCAUGAACUGGGCCAUGUUAGCCCUCAUCUCAGCUAACUCAACUUGCACUUGAUCCAUGNGCUAACUCAGCUUGCACUUGAUCCAUGUUCCUUUGAUGAUUCAGUCUGGUUGAGUAGCGAUGCGGUCUUUGAUCAGCUAUCCUGCCUGAACACAGGAACCAAAGUGAGAAGUCACGAACAAGAACACUUGUUAUGCAAAAUGAUAUGAGUAUGGUGCUAAUGAUGCAUAUGAUGCACAUGAUAUGUUCAUUUCUCAGGCAUUCAAAGAGCCUGGUUCAUCCUCAAAAGAUGGCAACCUGCAGCAGCAAGGGAACAGCAAUACGAGAUAAAUGAAAUCAAAAAUGAAACACCAACAACCUUAUCUAUAGAUAAGAGUAACAGGCUCAUACAACAAAGUCAACAAAGAUCCAUACAAUCGGAAUACAACAAUGAAUCCCAUCCAACAAGCCUGGAGGUGAUUCUCAACAUACACAUCAAAGAUACAAGCUAAGACAAACGAUCUCCCGGAAUGAGAGUCUUCAAGUACUGACACUGGUCUAUCAACUGGUCACACUCUGAACAUUCUGGCAAAGGAGUGAUCUUCUCCUUCAGUUGUCUUCUGAGCUCUACCACUUCUCCUCCAAGAUGGUUCUCUGAUGCCUGUCUCAAAUCUACUUCCUUCUUCAACUGGAUGUCUUUGUCUCUGAGUUGCUUCUCUAGGUCUCUGAUCUUCUUCUGAUAACUGGCUUCAGCUCUCUGCAGCCUCAAGCACUCCCGGUGUUCUGCAUCUAACAUGGCUUCCAUCUCCUCGUAGGAUCUCUUCUUGCUUCUCAGUCUGCUAGCAUCUUCUCCCUGCACUCCUCUGAGUUGAUGAGCCAAGUUUAACCUAUCAGCUUUGGCUUUGUAAAGCUCCAUCUGGGUAUCUUGCUCCUUCUCUCUCAACCGGCGAUUCUCCAUCAGGGCUUGCUUGUAGUGCUCAGCGGGCACACUCUCAGCAAGGAUCAAAGGUGGUUGCUCCUGCAACGGCUCCAUCCUAUCGUAGGGUAACAACAAAGUCUCCACUCUCUCCUUGAUCCACUCGGUGUAGUCAGGCAUAGCAAUGGCAAACUUCUUCCCUAAGACAGAUCCAUCCUUAACACCAAUAGACUUCCAAGCUCUUCCUAUCUGCUCCAAUCUAGCCGGGUCACUCUGCUUCUCAAAAUACACACUUUCAGCUACCUCAGCCUCAAGUGGUUUUCCUUUCAUUACAAACCCUAACUGGCGAAGAGAAAGAACUGGAUUGUAAUUGAUGCAACCCUUAGUCCCUACGAGUGGCACGUUCCGGAACUCUCCACAACUCAAAAUAACAUUCCGCACAUCCAUCCGGUAUGACUGCCAUCUGAUAUCAUAUGAAGUAAGAGACAUGACCCUCUGAGUCCACUUAUGCGUGCUCUGAGCAUCCACAAAAGGUCCACUGACUGGCAGGAGAAAUUCCGCACAUCCAUCCGGUAUGACUGCCAUCUGAUAUCAUAUGAAGUAAGAGACAUGACCCUCUGAGUCCACUUAUGCGUGCUCUGAGCAUCCACAAAAGGUCCACUGACUGGCAGGAGAGACAUGAACCAUAUGAGCAAAAGUGGGAGACAACAUCUGAUAGCUCCACCCUUACCAUGCCUACUGUGAAUAGCAUAGUAAGUGUCAGCUAACAGAGUAGGAACCGGGUUUCCUCUGAGGAAAAUAAUAACUGCAGCAUAGUCCACAAAGUUGGGCAUACUCGGGAACAAGACAAUCCCAUAGAUCAUGAUGGCCAACUGAGCAUGAAAAGCUUCCCAAUUUCCCUUCUCUGCUUCUUCUCUAGCUACCCUCGACAGAAACUUCAAAGGCAAACCCUCAACACCCCCACUGGCCUUCCAACUAUCACUGAUUUCCUUGACACCCAAACGGAGAGCUCUAGCAACAACUAUGAAAUCGACCUCCUUGGGCACGUCCAAGAAAGGAACCUGAUGCAAGAUCGAAACAUUCAACAGAAUGGAGUACUCCUUGAGAGUAGGCGCCAACUGAUAAUCCUGAAAGGUGAAGCAACGAAGCUCUGGGUCGUAGAACUGAAGAAGAGUCUGCAACGGCACUGGAUCAACUACCAUCUUCAACAGCGUCAGAAUAUCUCCAUACUGGUCAACAAACCCCUUCUGGUUACCACUGGUCAUAAGGUUGCUCAACUCAAUCAGAGACGUCAAAGGCUCACGGUGAAAGCUGUAUGAACAAGUCUUCCGCUUCAACUCUGGGACUGUCGCCAUCUUUAUCAGUGAAUAGACUCUGGAAUGUACCUGAGAAAUGAUAUGCAUGCAGAGAUUAGUUUUUUUUCUUUUUUUCCUUUUUUUUUCCUUUUUUUUUCAUUCUUUUUUUUAUUUGCUUAUUUUUUUUGAAAAUAAACAUGCUAUGAUGCAAAUGAUGCAGACAAGACUGGCUGGCUGUGUAUCUCAGAACACAGGAUCGAAGCUUCGGUUUAGACUCGGAACCACAAUUCAUCUGAAACCCAAAGUCAACUGAGAAACUGUCAUCUGAACCCAUAGUCACCAACAGGACCACAAGUCACCCACUGUACCUGUAAUAAUGAUAAAUCCCUCCCCACUCACGGGUGUUGUCUAGGCCAGGGUAAGGUCGAGAGAAACGCAGCAUAAAUAACCUUUCGCAGAAUAUCAUCAUAUACACACCCGAAGUAUACAAUGAUAAUAUCCCACAAGGGUCUGAACUGCUCGUGACAUCAAUGUUCCGCUAAGUGGCGCGAUACCACCCGCUUCCCAUGAAUCACUCUAUUCCUAAGUAUCCUAAAUUUCACUCAUGGCCUGGGUAUUGGGCCUUUUACCUCGAGUAACUCCCACCCCAACAGAGAGAAACAGACAACCAGCCAGCCAGAUGAGCAGAUGAAUAUGAAUGAAUGCAAACAUUAAUGCACACAUAAAUGCAAACAAUAAAUAAAUGAAUGCAAUAAAUGAAACAGCAAAAGCAACCAAAUACUAACCUAGAGAGCGCUAGGAGAGACUUGCUUAGGGAAGAUGGACCAGCAAGAGGUCAACUUCUCAUGUUCCCCAGCAGAGUCGCCAGCUGUCGCAUUACGCGAAAAACCGGCGGGAAAACAAGAACAACAGAGCCGCCACCGUGCGUUAUUUAUCCCAAAAGAGGGAAAGGAAACGCUCGAAGUUAAAACCUGGAAAAGACAUGUCUCGCGACCAAAGAGAAUGGGUCGGGAGUCGGUUAUGCGAAGGGAAGGUAUUAGGCACCCCUACGCAUCCGUCGUACUCGACGGGAUCCACGCACCAAUAGGAAGGAAUGGUUGCUAAAACACGCUCAAACCACAAACACCCUGGCUGAAGAGACACAAGAAAAAACAAAGAAUGACUCGGCAGGAUAUCGCAUCCUGGGCCUACUUAGUCUAUCAGGCAUAGACAUCAGAGUCGAGUAGUUCGGACGGGAAAAAACAUGCUCGCUAGGAUGUCGCAUCCUAUGCAUACGUAUCUUCUCGGACAAGAAGAAUCAGAGCAUCGUAGCUCGGCUGACACACACGCAAACAAAACCACACAGCGAAAUCCGACUGCCAAUCGCUGGACUUACGUUCAAUCCACACAAACAAUCAAACCACGGAAACGAAUGCCAAUCGCUGGACUUACAUCAGACUCCGAACCAAACACACGCACACUGGAAACCAAAUGCCAAUCGCUGGACUUACAUCAGACUCCGAACCAAACACACGCACACUGGAAACCAAAUGCCAAUCGCUGGGCUUACAUCGGACUCCAAGCACACAACAACAAUAAGAUACGGAAUGCCAAUCGCUGUUCUUACAUCCAUCUCCUAACACACGCAAAGACAAAACAAAAAGGGCGCCCGGAGAGAUCACCUCAUCUCCUGCCUACGUACCUCAUCUGGUAUGAGGAUCAGGGCGACGUAGUUCCCCUACGCAGGGACACAGGACUAGCCUAACCAGAUACAAAGGGAGACACAAACUACUAGGGAGACUACGACUCGAGCCUAGAAGUUGUCAUGCAUUAUAGCCCUAUGUUAAGGUUUCUAUCUAACUUGCACAGGAAGCAAGCUAACCUAAACAUGACUUGCACAAGAAGCAAGCCAAACUAAACCUAACUUGCACAGGAAGCAAGCUAAACUAAAAAAAAGCACAAGCACACAAGCACAAAUAGCACACACUAUAUGCAAUCAGUUGGCUCAAUCAAGGUUAGGUUUUAGUCGAGGGGUCAUAUCAACCUCGACAAAUAAACCACUGUAACAGGGUAAUGUUAGCUCUUAACCCUAACAUUGAGAGUUAGGGUGAAGCAGAUGAAAUAGGAAGUGAGGGGUGUGCCUCACAACUCUUAUCCCUGGCCUGGGAGAGCUUUAGACAAAGGAAUGUGUGGGUUCAGAAAGUGGAAACCCUUCUACACAUAUGACUGACUCAACAUGGAUCUUGGGUUAGUAUCUGCAAUGCAUCAACACAGUGGUGUGAGCAAAGCAGAUGACACAUAAAAUAGCAGGGGAUGGAUUACACAUCCCUUGUAUCUGCCAAUGCCUCUUCACUUAGGAGGUCUUUGAAUAUAUACAAGGACAAAAGUAAACAAACACAAACAUUGCCUCUUAAGGAGGACUUCAGACAGGUGCCUGACCAAAUAACAGGCCAGGUCUUCCAGACUACAUGAAGAAGGGAUGUUAUACCUCAGUGCUUAAGCUNAAUCCUACACCAUGCCUGGUGCUCACAUUGGCCAUCAACACCUCCAGUUGUGUGACGGAACUCUUGAGGUACGUAAGCCAUGUUCAGCAUCUUCAAUAAGGCAUUACGAUGUGCCUCAGAGCACUAGCAGCAAAAGCGAGUAUUGAAAUCUUUGGACGGAGUCUGAUUAAGUUGAAUCUACGAUCUUUUAUAAUCCACUCUUCUUUAUGAUCUUCAUAAACUCCUCCACGUCCUUGUUCCAAAUGAACCCUCAGGCACCUUCCUUCUGAGCCGGUUCUUUCGUCAUGAACAACCUGUUUGCCUUUUGACUUGCAGAAAGCCUCAGCAUUAGCAAUCUCUCAACGGCUGAGGAAGCAACAGUCGUCCACUUCGAGUAAAACCUCCGGUCCACCAACGGUUUUCCACAACGGGACUCCCACCACAGGAGUUUAACUGCGUGCACUGAUUGUCACAGGCGCUUGACUUACUGGCCUAAUCUGAUUCUCAGCCCUGACUGCUGCGGUAGGCAUUAUCAUAUUCCAUGCACAACCCUACUAUUCUCAAUGGUCUUCUUCCAGACGCAACGAUUAGUAGUUGGAGCACUGAUAGUUACAGGAGCGGAAAUUGGUAAAUUGGAGUUAACCACUUUGUUGCAGGUGGCACUAACAAACCCUCUGCCUCGUCCUUCAGACGUUUGAAAUAAUGGUGACAGUUGACACUGACCCACGAUUCUCUUACAGCCCUUCCCCCCCCCCCAUACUGAAUUUACAGGACAAUCCCUGAUUCCAUCAAACCCUGCGAUAUCCAGCCCGCCAACUGACACAUAACCAUGUGUCUUCAGAUUUCGCACAAUCAAUACAACCCUCGGUCACAGCCCGGCGUCUACACCCCAUUCAGCAAACAGCCCUCAACAAACUACUGAGAAGGUUCUGAAUAUCAUCAAGCAUUUAACAACCAGAUCUUCAGCUUCUUCUCCUUCAAUAUUGUUCACUCUUAUUGCCCACCCGGGCUGAGCAUAGGAUUGUUCACGACGUUAGGCACUGGAGCGAAAGUUGUUCGUCUUGCAUCGAUCAAAUCUUGGACUUUGUGCUUGGAAAGCCGGCAAUUUUCUCAGAAUAUGGGUACCCUUGUGUGCCCAGAGUGAAAGUCACAACGGACGGUUGGCGUCGUAUCCAGGUAGGCAAUAUUGUUGGCGGAUGCCAUUGUAACGCAAAUCAACCAAACCCCAACCUGAGUAGUUCGGGCAGCAGUUCGGGCGUACGACAUGGCUAGCAGAUCAAAACGUCGAUUCAGGCAUCCUUUGUCUGGGCUGAUACGGAACCAUUUGCUGUUGUUGUUGUUGUUGCGGUUGUUGAACUUUUGUUGUUUGUUGCGGAGGUUGACGUUGUUGAGGUGCAGGAAAUGGUCACUGCAGCAACCUGACGGUAUUGAUUUCUGUUCCACUUUUCCUCUGUAACACAUUUUCCCUCGGUGUUGUACAACAUUGGUUUCCCCCUCUCUCGGCGAGGUGCCCCACAAAUGCGUUUCUUAGACGAUGAGAACCCACAUCUUGAAUGCUUACCGGCCUUGAUUAAACUUUCAGUUCUCUAACCAAGAUUCACCACGUCUGAGAAACUACCGAAUGUGCAACUCCCCAUCCAGUCCAUAAAUACACCUUGAAGAGUACCAAUGACAUGUCGGGUUAACUCCCUCUCCAGGCAUAGGGGGUUGUACUCUUGCAGCCAGUUCACGCCAUUCUGGGCGUACUCCUUGAAGCUUUCACCAGAUUUUGACAUAGACUCAGCAGCUGAGUCUGGCUAGGCGCCAUAUCCAUGUUAUGCUUGUAUUGCCUCAGAAGGGCCUCUCCCAGAUCCCUCCAGGCAGGGCGGAUUCGAAUCUUCUCUUCAAUUCCAUGUACCAUUCCAAAGAAGCCCCAGAUAGACUAUCUUGGAAAAAGUACAUCACAUCUUCUCAUCGUCUGUGUAAGCAGAGAUCUUCCUGUAGUAGGCCGCACGUGGAGUGAGAGGGCAAAGAAGUGCGUUGUACUUGUCAAAAACGGUGCUUUGAAACUUAUAAGGAUUCUCAAACCUUCCACUAACCCCAUAUGGUAAAACAUCAAAACCCGAGAGAAUUCUGAGAUUCCAUAGCCCGGAUCUUCUCAGCAAGGCAUCAACUUUACGAUCCCUCUCAUCAACCCUUCCCAAAACGUCUUCGUCUUCACUGAGCAGUAUGAACAUUAUCCUCUUUGUCUGUCAAACAAUCGAAGCCUGAUUACGGGCCGGGAGGCACGGGACUACUCUGGCAUUAGCGGUAUCUGGGCAAUAGGUUGCCUGUUGAUUCAAUAUACCCCUCAAUUCGUCAACCUAAGCCAUAGUGUUGAUGGGCACAGCCGCAGUAGCAGGGGUCAAGUUGAUCGGGCCCCUCCCUCUGGCAGAGCUUGGUUGACCGUGGAAUUGCACUUCUUGUCUCUGAACUAGAGCUUCGGAGUUCUUCUUGACUUGCGCAACCCCUUGCAUCAUAUGCAUGGAACUGGGCCAUGUGGAGCCUCAUCUCAGCUAACUCAGCUUGCACUUGAUCCAUGGUUCUUUGAUGAUUCAGUCUGGUUGGAGUAAGCGAUGCGGUCUUGAUCACAUCCUUUGCCUGACAAGAACCAAAGUGAGAAGUCUACGAACAAGAACACUUGUUAUGCAAAAUUGAUAUAGUAUCGGUGCUAAUGAUGGCAUAUUGAUGCACAUGAUCAUGCUUCAUUUCUCAGGCAUUCAAAGAGGCCUGGUUCAUCCUCAAAAGAUUGGGCAAAACCUGCCAGCAGCAAGGGAACGCAUACGCAGAUAAUGAAAAUCAAAAAUGAAACACCAACAACCUUAUCUAUGAUAAGAGUAACAGGCUCAUACAAACAAAGCUCAACCAAAGAUCCAUACAUCGGAAUACAACAAUGAAUCCCAUCCACAAAGCCUGAGGUGAUCUCAACAUACAACAUCAAAGAUACAAGACUAAGACAAACGAUCUCCCGAAAUUGAGAGUUCUUCAAGUAUGGACACUGGUCAGCAAACUGGUCACACUCUGAAAACAUUCAUGGCCAAAGGAGUGAUCUUCUCCUUCAGUUGUUCUUCUGACUCUACCACUUCUCCUCCAGAUGGUUCUCUUGAUGCUGUCUCAAAUCUACUUCCUUCUUCAACUGGAUGUCUUUCGUCCUCUGAGUUGCUUUCUCUAGGUCUCUUUGCAUCUUCUUCUGAUAACUGGCUUCAGCUCUCUUGCAGCCUCAAAGCACUCCGGUUUCUGCAUCUACCAUGGCUUCCAUUCCUCGUAGGAUCAUCUUCUUGGCUUCUCAGUCUGCUAGCAUCUUCUCCCUGCACUCCUCUGAGUUUGAUGAAGCCAAGUUUAACCUAUCAGCUUUGGCUUUGUAAAGCUCCAUCUGGGUAUCUUGCUCCUUCUCUCUCAACGGCGAUUGCUCCAUCAGGGCUUGGCUUUUAGUGCUCAGCGGCCACACUCUCGCAACGGAAUCAAAGGUGUUGCUCCUGCCAACGCUCCAUCCUAAUCGCUAGAGGUAACAAACAAUCUCCACUCUCUCCCUUGAUCACUCGGUGUAGAUCAGGACAUAGCAAUGGCAAAACUUCUUCCCUAAGACAGAUCCAUCCUUAACACCAAUAAGACUUCCAAGAAAAUCUUCCUAUCUGCUCCAAUCGAGCCGGGUCCACUCCUUCUCAAAAGACACACUUUCAGGCUUACCUCAGCCUCAAGUUGGUUUUCCUUUCAUACAAACCCUAACUGGCCGAAGAGAAAGAACUGGAUUGUAAUUGAUUGCAACCCUUAGUCCCUACGGUGGCACGUUCCGAAACUCUCCACAAACUCAAAAAUAACAUUCCGCACAUCCAUCGCGGUAUGACUGCCAUUGAAUAUCAUAUGAAGUAGAGACAUACCCUCUGGUCCACUUAUGCGAUGCUCUGAGCAUCCACAAAAGUUCCACUGACUGGCAGGAGAGAACAUGAAACCAUUAUGAGCAAGGGGAGACAACAUCUGAUAGCUCCACCCUUACCAUGGCCUUACUGUGAAAUAGCAUAGUACAGUGUCAGCUACAGAGUAGGAAAACCGGUGUUUCCUCUGAGGGAAAAUAAUAACUGCAGCAUAGUCCACAAAGUUGGCAUACUCGGAACAGGACAAUCCCAUAGAUCAUGAAAUGGCCAACUAGCUGAAAAGCUUUCCCAAUUUCCCUUCUCUGCUUCUUCUCUAGCUACCCUCGACAGAAACUUUCAAAGGCAAACCCUCAAACCACCCACUGGCCUUCCCAACUAUCACUGAUUUCCCUUGACACCCAAACGGAGAGCUCUAGCAACAACUAUGAAAUCGACCUCCUUGGGCACGUCCAAGAAGGAACCUGAUGCCAAGAUCGAAACAUUCAACAGAAUGGAUACUCCUUUUGAGUAGGCGCCAACUGAUAAUCCUGAAAGGUGAAGCAACGAAAAGCUCUGGGUCGUAGAACUGAAGAAAGAGUCUUGCAACGGCACUGGAUCAACUACCAUCUCAAACAGCGUCAGAAUUAUCUCCAUACUGGUCAACAAAAACCCCUUCUGGUUACCACUGGGUCAUAAGGUUGCUCAAACUCAAUCAGAGACGUCAAAGGCUCACGGGUGAAAGCUGCUAUGAACAAGUCUUCCGCUUCAACUCUGGACUGUUCGCCAUCUUUAUCAGUGAAUUAGACUUGGAAUGUACCUGAGAUAAUGAUAUGCAUGCAAGGAUUAGUUUUUUUCUUUUUUUCCUUUUUUUUUCCUUUUUUUUUCAUUCUUUUUUUUAUUUGCUUAUUUUUUUUGAAAAUAAACUGGCUAUGAUGCAAAUGAUGCAGACAAGACUGGCUGCUGUGUUAUCUCAGGAACACAGGAUCGAAGCUUCGUUUUAGACUCGGAACCAACAUUCAUCUGAACCAAAGUCAACUGAGAAACUGUUCAAUCUGAAAACCCAUAGUCACCAACAGGGACCACAAGUCACCCACUGUACCUGUAAUAAUGAUAAAUCCCUCCCCACUCACGGCUGUUGUCUAGGCCAGGGUAAGCGUCGAGAGAAACGCAGCAAAAUAACCUUUCGCAGAAUUAUCAUCAUAUUAAUCACCGCUGCGAGUAUACAAUGAUUAAUAUCCCACAAGGGUCUGAACUGCCUCGUGACCAUCCAAUGUUCCGCUUAGAAUGGCGCGAUUACCACCCGCUUCCCAUGAAUCACUCUAUGCCUAAGUAUCCUAAAAUUUGCACUCAUGCCUGGGAUGAAUUGGGCCCUUUAUAGCCUUCGAGUAACUCCCACCCAACAAGAGAGAAACAGACAAAACCAGCCCAGCCAGAUGAGCAGUUGAAUAUGAAUGACAUGCGAGAACAUUAAAUGCACACCUAUAAAGCACAAAACAAUAAAAUAAAUUGAAUGCAAAUAAAUGAAACAAGCAAAAGUCAACCAAAUACUAAACCUAGAGAGCGCUAGGGAGAACUUGCUUAGGAAUGGACCAGCAAGAGGUCAACUUCUCAUGUUCCCCAGCAGGGAGUCGCCAAGCUGUCCAUUACGCGAAAAAACCGCGGGAAAACCAGAAACAACAGAAGCCGCCACGUGCGUUAUUUUCCCAAAGAGGGAAAGGAAACGCUCGAAGUUAAAACCUGGAAAAAGACAUCGUCUCGCGACCAAAGAGAAUGGAUCGGGAGGUCGGUUAUCGCGAAGGGAAGGUAUUAGGCACCCCUACGCAUCCGUCGUACUCGACGGGAUCCACGCACCAAAGGAAGGAAUACGGUUGCUAAAAACACGGCUCAAACCUCAAAACACCCAUGCUGAAGAGGACACCAAGAAAAAACAACAGAAAUAAACUCGGCAGGAUAUCGCAUCCUGGGCCUUACGUAGAGUCUAUUCAGGCAUAGACAUCAGAGUCGACGUAUUCGGACCAGGGAAAAAAACCAUGCUCGCUAGGAUGUCCAUCCUAUGCAUUUACCGUAUCUUCUCGGGAACUUAAAGAAGAAUCAGAGCACUCGUAAGCUCGCGCUAACACACGCCAAACAAAACCACACAGCGAAAAUCGACUGCCAAUCGCUGGACUUACGUUCAAACUCCACACAAACAAUCAAACCACGGAAACGAAUGCCAAUCGCUGGGCGACUUACAUCAGACUCCGAAAACCAAACACACGCACAACUGAAACCCAAAUUGCCCAAUCUGCUGACUUAAAUCAGGACUCCGAACCAAACACACGCACACUGAGAAACCAAAUGCAAAUCGCUGGCUUACAUCGGACUCCAAAGCACACAAAACAACAAUUAAGAAUACGGAAUGCAAUUCGCUUGUUUCUUGACAUCCAUCUCCAACACACGCAAAGACAAACAAAAAAAGGCGCCCGGAGCAUCACCUAUCUCCUGCCUACGUACCUCAUUCUGGGAUUUUUUUUUGAGGAUCAGAGGCGACGUAGUUCCCCUACGCAGGACACAGACUAUGCCCUAACCAGAUACAAAGGGAGACACAAAACUACUAGGGAGACUACGACUCGCAGCCUAGAAGUUGUCUGCCAUUAUAGGCCCUAUGUUGAAGUUUCUAUCUAACUUGCAACAGGAAGCAAAGCUAAACCUAAACAUGAUUGCCACAAGAAAGCAAGCCAAACUAAACCUAACUUGCACAGAAGGCAAGCGUUAAAACUAAAAAAAAGCACAAGCACACGAAGCACAAAUAGCACACACUAUAAUGCCCAUCAGUUGGCCUCAUCAAGGUUAGGGUUUUAGUCGAGGGGUCAUAUCAACCUCGACAAAAUAAACCACUGUAAACAGGUAAUGUAGCUCUAACCCUAACAUUGAGAGGUUAGGGUGAACAGCAUGAAAUAGGAAGUGAGGGUUGCUGGCCUCACAACUCUUAUCCCUGGCCUGGGAGAGCUUUAUUUUCUUUUGGACAAAGGAAUGUGUGGGUUCGAAAGUGGAAACCUUUACACAUAUGACUGGACUCAACAUGAUCUUGGGUUAGUAUCUGCAAUGCAUCAACCACCAGUGGUGUGAGGCAAAGCAGAUGACACAUAAAAUAGCAGGGGAAUGGAUUACACAUCCCUUGUAUCUUUGCCAAUGCCUCUUCACUUAGGGACUCCAGGUCUUUGCACCUAUUUAUUUUUUACAAGGACAAAAGGUUACAAACAAACCACCAAACGAUUGCCUCUUAAGGAGGAACUUCAGACAGGUGGCCUGACCAAAUAAACAGGCCAGGUCUUCCAGACUACAGAUAGAAGAAGGAUCCGGCAACAUUAAUCCAUCCAAAAUAAACUUAAGCUAUCAAGACAAAGCAAAAAGUCAAGUUCCACAAGGAAAACUAUAGCAACUAAGGUACCUGAAAAACAGAGUGGCAUUCCAACAUAAUCCUCCCAAGAAUCGUAUACCAGACCAAACAAAAGUCAAUACCAACUCAUAGACUGGUCAAAACAAUUAACUGUUACAGUUCAAACAACAAUCAAGCCCAACAGCAAUGCAACAAAGUGCAAGCCACAAGGCCUAGGUACAAGUCUCAAAACCUACAAAACAAACUCAAGGUUAGUCAUAAACAAGCAAUGGACCAACUCCAAUUGAGUGCACAUCAUCAAGUAUAAGCAAUUGUGCUCUUUGACCUGAAACAAAGAUCAAACAUUAAGCACUAACCACUAGGACAAGGCCUAGGGUCAAAAUGGGAGCAAUAAACCAAAACAGAACAUGAAAAUUAUCCAAAAUCAAGUUCAAUCAAAUAAGAAACAAAUCCAAGUGGUCUCACAUUCAUAUCAUCAAUCAAUUUCAUUUCAUGAAGCAUAGAAGGCAAAGCAUGCAAUUUAGAACCUCAUAGGACCAAACAGAAUGAUUCAAUUCAAAUCAACUCACAAAUAUUUCAAUAAAUCUCAAGAAAAUUCAUGUUCAAACAACAUUCAUAACAUGAUCUACACACCAAAUUUCAAGUCAUUUGGACAAAGGGAAGCAAGUCAAUUAAAUUCCAUAAGUCAAAGCAUGUUCAAACAAGCUCAUACAAGGCACUAAAUCAUACAUCAACUUCAAGCAAGCAUAAAACAGAAUCCAAACAUGAUAUGGACAUCAAACCAAAGCCAUGGCACACUUCAAUGUGUCUAGAAUACAUAUGCAAAAUUUCAGGUCCAUCCAAUAAACAACAAGAAUUUCACAAAUCAAAUAAGAUCAUGACUCACAAAUGGUCCACCAAUGGCCAAACAGCAAAGAAAUUCUCAAACAAAUUGGAAAUGCACUCAAACAAUCCACAAAAAUUCACACUCAAACUUAACAUCCAGAAGAAUCAACAUGCAAAAGUUCAGGUCAUUUUGAGUUCAUAUGGCAUGGUAAAGAAAUUCCACAAAUUGGACAAGAAAUGGUGUGACACACAUUGUCACACCUCCAAUGAUCAGAUCAUAUCUCACAAACCAGAAAUGCAAAAAUCACAAACUCUAUACCAAAAUGCUCCUCAAGGUGUCUAGUUUACACAUAUAAAAUUUCAGCUCCAUUGGAUUAAACAUCAAGAUUUCAUAAAAGAAAUGGCAAGCAAGGUGCAACAAAUGACAUGUAUGAACAUUCCCUAAGCCCAAACACAAUUUUUGCAAAAAUCAUCAUAAAAUAGUAGACAUGGCAAGGAUCAUGGCACAAAAAAUCUCACAUCAAUUGGACAAAUGGUUUGAGAGUUAUUAAUUUUGGAAUGGCAUGAAAAAUAAAAAAACAUGUGGAAAUGCAUAUGAACAUGUGAAGCAUAUGGUGAGAAAAUGCCAAAGCCAAGAUGAGAAACCGCUGGCGCCAGGACUCGAACCGCGUUCGAAUUCAAAUAUGGCGCUACUUAAGUGAAACGCCGCGUUUCACUUAAGUACAGUUGGCAAGGAGAACGAACCUAAACCAAUCAAAUGGCCACGGCGUGUCCAGGUGGACCAGUACAUGGCAACUAACAGAAAUUCACAUGCACAACACGAAAUACAAGAUCAAACGCGGGUUCUGGGAAAGAAAAUAUUAGGGUUUCAUACGUGUUCUUCAUGAAUCUCCAGAUUAUGAACAAACGUUCCAGAAUUUCAUGAACCAUGCAUCAUUCGAUUCAUCUUCUAACACACAUCACAUAUCCAGCAUUGAUUUUCUCUAAUUCUAACUAUAUCAAACGAAUCAUGCACAACAAGUUUCACUCAUCAAAAUUCAAAUCAACAUAACUCUCUCAAAACUCAAUGAAAUUUCACGAUUUAAAGUUCAUUACAACCAGCAACAAAGGGCAUCUAUAAGAGGCACAUGAUAAUUGGAAGACAGUAGAGCAUUUCGAAUUUUUACCUUGCUGAUGAUGCAGCUCUGGAAUCGUGCUUCUCAAGUCCUCAAAUGCUAAAACAGAUGUUCUAUGUUGCUUGAGUGAAUGAAUGGAUGCAGGAUUCCAGCUCAGCAGUGCUUGAUAUGAUGGGAAUCUUCAAUUGCCAUGGGAGAUGCUAUGCUCAACAGUCCGUGAUUCUUCAAGAAAUCUUCACAAUCUUGCUUCAACAGUUCUUCACAAUGCUGGUAAAUGAUGAAUAGAUCGAAAAGCAAGCAACAGAAAUGAAGAAAAAUGAAGAAAAGAGUUGAGAGAAUUUGAGAUGAAAAGUUUAGAUCUGAGUUUGUGCAGUUGUUCAUGCUGAAAUCUGUUAGGGUUUCACUUAUAUAUCACCUAUUAAGCAAGUUCUUAAUCAUGUUUAGGCAUUUGGCAAGUGGAAUUAGUGAAAGCAAGUGUUUAUGCAAAAUUGAUAUUUCCACCUCUAUGCAUGGUAUGAAUGGAACAGUACACGAAAUUGGGCCUAAUUAGGCAUUUGGCAAGUGGAAUUAGUGAAAGCAAGUGUUUAUGCAAAAUUGAUAUUUCCACCUCUAUGCAUGGUAUGAAUGGAACAGUACACGAAAUUGGGCCUAAAUCCACUCAAAAUUCUGUUUGCAAGCCAAUGGAAAUGUUGCCAAGUGUAAAUAAUGCAUUAUUUUAAGAUUUGAGAAUUCCAUCCAAAAAGUCAAGUGAAAAAUAAAAUAAUUUUGUGAUGAGAAUGCAUGACUUGUGAUGAAUGAUUAUGAUAGAGCAUGUUAAAAGGAUAUUGUAGCAAAAAACCCCACUCCAUUUGGCCUUGUGGUAUGAAAGUUAUGCUAGCUUGAACUUCAAAUUUCCUUGACAAUGAUUUGAUCAUAACUUGCCAACCACACAUGAGAAAUUCAUGUUCUUGGACUUUUUGGAAAGGUGAGAGCAAGAUCUUCAACUUUCAUGUUGGAUACAAAUUCAUUUGAAGCUUGUAUGAUGAUGUAGAUUUGAGGAGAAGACCUUUCCAUUUUUGGCAGUUUCCAAUUACAGGUCACUUACUAUUUUUGGAAACUUUUCAUCUGACCUCAAAUUCUUCAAUGUUGAUCUUUGUAAUGUCAAAUGAGACUUGUAUGGACAUGAAUGAGGCCUCUCUAACCAUCUCCCACUAUUUUUGGAAACUUUUCAUCUGACCUCAAAUUCUUCAAUGUUGAUCUUUGUAAUGUCAAAUGAGACUUGUAUGGACAUGAAUGAGGCCUCUCUAACCAUCUCCCACCUUCAAAUCCAUGAUUUCAGGCAUAGUUGACAACAGUUGACUUUCUAGGGUUUCAAAUGAGAUUCAGCUUGACUGUUGAGCUUUGAUCAUCCAAUCCUUGGCCAAACCACUUCAAAAUGAUCCCUAGGUCAUAUGAACUUGAUGAACCAACCCUAGGACUUUGCUUCAAUAGGAAUUGCACUUGCUUGCUUGAUUAACUAGAUCUUCUGACCAGUCUUGACUGAUGAACUUGCACUUGGCAAAUGGACAAGGCAAUGCUAUGCAGUGGACAAUGUAAUGUUAAUGACCUAAAAUGAAAAUGUAUGUACAAAAUGGUAGGUGCAAAUUUGAGGUGCUACA